AUGUCAAAUCAUCAUGCCCCUUAUGUCUUGGGCUACACACGUGCUACAAUGGCGCAUACAAAGUGAAGCAAGAUCGCGAGAUGGAGCCAAUCACAAAAAAGCGCCUCAGUUCGGAUUGCAGGCUGCAACUCGCCUGCAUGAAGUUGGAAUCGCUAGUAAUCGCGAAUCAUCAUGUCGCGGUGAAUACGUUCCCGGGCCUU
rnacentral:rRNA from 1 species